UACGGAGGGGGCUAGCGUUGUUCGGAAUUACUGGGCGUAAAGCGCGCGUAGGCGGCUUUGUAAGUUAGAGGUGAAAGCCCGGAGCUCAACUCCGGAAUUGCCUUUAAGACUGCAUCGCUAGAAUCAUGGAGAGGUGAGUGGAAUUCCGAGUGUAGAGGUGAAAUUCGUAGAUAUUCGCAAGAACACCAGUGGCGAAGGCGGCUCACUGGCCCGAUACUGACGCUGAGGUGCGAAAGCGUGGGGAGCAACAGGG
rnacentral:rRNA from 1 species